rnacentral:rRNA from 1 species
AUACGUAGGUGGCAAGCGUUGUCCGGAUUUACUGGGCGUAAAGGGAGUGUAGGCGGAUACUUAAGUCAGAUGUGAAAUACCCGGGCUCAACUUGGGUGCUGCAUUUGAAACUGGGUAUCUAGAGUGCAGGAGAGGAAAGUGGAAUUCCUAGUGUAGCGGUGAAAUGCGUAGAGAUUAGGAAGAACACCAGUGGCGAAGGCGACUUUCUGGACUGUAACUGACGCUGAGGCUCGAAAGCGUGGGGAGCAAACAGGAUUAGAUACCCUGGUAGUCCACGCCGUAAACGACGGGUACUAGGUGUGGGAGGUAUCGACUCCUUCCGUGCCGCCGUUAACACAAUAAGUACCCCGCCUGGGGAGUACGGUCGCAAGAUUAAAACUCAAAUGAAUUGACGGGG